rnacentral:lncRNA from 1 species
AAGAUCCAACCAACACUCAGUCCGCGACGCAUAGAAGACGCCUCGCUACCAGCCGUUCCAUCAAGACACGGCCAUUACCAUUGUCGGAACAGAACUAAGACUCGAUCUGAGUCUUAACCGUCAGAAUCGCAUUCCAGCACCAAACUUCCGAUAACCGCCUCAGAUACUGUUACCCUUGAUCCAUAACCAGUAGCUAAUCUUACCAUGAUCAGACAGUACAUCAAUCGGUCCAUACAACUCUCGUUUCGACAGUAACCACACGGCCAUCCAGUCCCUCAGUCACACACAGCACGCUCCAGUUCAGCAUAUCCUAACCGCUGACUGAGCAGUUCUUCUACAUGAUCCAGAAUCUGUAUCCAGACAUCACACCAGUCCAUCAUAGCCCCGACCGAUUCCCUUUCCUGGAUCACACUAACCAUGCCGAUACACAGUCCCAAUCGCAUCCCAUCAAGACGCUCACCAUCAGUACAUGGCUCCACCGCACAUAGACUUAGUCGAUACAACCCUUCCCAUGGCUUGUCCUUAAUUCUGCACCAGAAGGAACAACAGACGCCGCGAUCAUUCUUCAUAAAUGAUCGCCCCCCUCAUGGAACCAGAACCAGACGCGCAUCCGUACAUCCGCAAGGCCACCGCUCGACUUUAGGAACAGUCUGGAAGGAUCCGAUCAGUCCUACUCGGCGAUCUCAGACUCUCUCCCGGUCCUCUCUAUCUUU